rnacentral:rRNA from 1 species
UACAGAGGAUGCAAGCGUUAUCCGGAAUGAUUGGGCGUAAAGCGUCUGUAGGUGGCUUUUAAGUCCGCCGUCAAAUCCCAGGGCUCAACUCUGGACAGGCGGUGGAAACUACCAAGCUGGAGUACGGUAGGGCAGAGGGAAUUUCCGGUGGAGCGGUGAAUGCGUAGAGAUCGGAAAGAACACCAACGGCGAAAGCACUCUGCUGGCCGACACUGACACUGAGAGACGAAAGCUAGGGGAGCGAAUGG